GUGUUUGUGUGUGUGUGUGUGUGUGUGCUUUGAUGUAACAAAGCCCAGCAGAAAACCAUUGUAGAGAUUGUAUUUAUAAUGCAUAUGUGCUGCUUACUAUCGAGUGCCUCCUCAGCUGACCAUAACUCACUGAGGCCAGGCCCAACAUCAGGUUUCCUUGACCCCUCGAUGAACUAUAGCUAUUACAGCAUGACCCCACAGCCACUUCCAUCUCCAUGUCACUAUGCAUCCCUACGUGUCUGUGUUGCAGUGUGUUUGUGUGUGUGUGUGUAUGUGUUUCUAUCUCCAUCUCUAUGUGUGCAAGCAUCCCUAUGUAUCAUGCAUCCCAGUGUGUGUGGGAGGCUCCCAUCCCAUGUCUACAACAGCCUACCACCACUAGCAUCACAAGUAACACAACACAUGACCUUGCUGUGGAACCAGCCUGCCCUCCACUUUCCAGCCAGAUCAAUCAGGCAGCCGCCAGCCACUUCCUGACCCCACGCUGACUGCUGUCAUGUCACGGUGGCUCCCGUCAUACUGCACUGUGCCAAGGGGCAGCAUGGUGACAGGAGACACUCUUUUCACACCACUUCGAUACAGCUACGACAGGAAGUGAUUUUCUUGGCAGCUGUGUGCCCGCACAUGACUCCAACACCAUCACUAAGUUUGCUGACGACACGACCGUGGUAGGUCUGAUCACCGACGACGAUGAGACAGCCUAUAGGGAGGAGGUCAGGGAACUGUCAGUGUGGUGCCAGGACAGCAACCUCUCCCUCACCGUCAGCAAGAAAAAUGAGCUGAUCGUGGACUGCAGGAAACGGAGGGCUGAGCACGCCCCCAAUCACGCCGACGGGGCUAAAGUGGAGUGGGUCGAGAUCUUCAAGAUCCUAAGUGUCCACAUCACUAGUUUCAAGUUUUAAUGUCAGUAAUCAAUUUCAAUGUAGUACUAAAAAUACAUAAGAGAAAUAAAAAUAAGAACACGAGAAAGUAAGUAAGCUAUAUACAGGGUCAGUUCCAAUACUAUAUUUGCAAUGUGCAGGGAUACUGAAGUGAUAGAGGUAGAUAUGUAUAGGGGUAAUUUGACUAGGAAUCAGGAUAUAUGAUAAACAGAGUAGCAGCA
rnacentral:lncRNA from 1 species